rnacentral:rRNA from 1 species
UACGUAGGUGGCGAGCGUUGUCCGGAAUUACUGGGUGUAAAGGGAGCGUAGGCGGGAGUGCAAGUUGAAUGUUAAAUCUAUCGGCUCAACCGAUAGCCGCGUUCAAAACUGCAUUUCUUGAGUGAAGUAGAGGUUGGCGGAAUUCCUAGUGUAGCGGUGAAAUGCGUAGAUAUUAGGAGGAACACCAGUGGCGAAGGCGGCCAACUGGGCUUUACUGACGCUGAGGCUCGAAAGCGUGGGGAGCAAACAGGAUUAGAUACCCCUGUAGUCCCUGA